GAUGAAGAACGUAGCGAAAGUGCGAAACGUAAUGUGAAUUGCAGAAUUCAGUGAAUCAUCGAAUCUUUGAACGCACAUUGCGCCCCUUGGUAUUCCAUGGGGCAUGCCUGUUCGAGCGUCAUUUGUACCUUCAAGCUUUGCUUGGUGUUGGGUGUUUGUCUCGCCUUUGCGUGUAGACUCGCCUUAAAAUAAUUGGCAGCCGGCGUAUUGAUUUCGGAGCGCAGUACAUCUCGCGCUUUGCACUCAUAACGACAGCGUCCAAAAGUACAUUUUACACUCUUGACCUCGGAUCAGGUAGGGAUACCCGCUGAACUUAAGCAUAUCAAUAAGCGGAGGA
rnacentral:misc_RNA from 1 species